AAAAGAAAAAAAAAAGAAGAGAGUCACUGGCUACGUGGUUGUAAAGUGGGUAUCGAGGGUAUUCAACAGUUAAUAAGAAAACAAAUAGAUAUAGUAAAAACAAAAGCCCACACGUAUACACAGACAGAGUCGGUGGUUUCGGAGGAGAAAAGAAAAGGGAUUAGGGUUUGAGAAUUCAAUCGAGCGACUACAUCGAAUCAGGUGAGGAUUUGAGCCUUGUCCAUAUGUAAUUAUGUCAGUGUUUAUCUGCUUGCCAUUCGUAUAUAUGUAUUGUUGUGUGUUGACGGAGAUGAUUGGGGGCGUACGGUGGUCGGAGGCUGAGAGGCGGCGGCGAUUUCGCCGGAAGUUGGAAGUUGAGUUUUGAGGAUUGAUUGGCAUCGUUCGGAGUCGAAGGGAGGCGCUGGGUUGUAGACGAAACGACGUCCAGGGGUUGGGGAGACGCAGCAGCGGCAAUGGUUCGCCGGUGGGUUUCGGCGGAUGGAUGGGGCGGCGACUCCGUGGUAUGGAGGUCAGUUCGUAGGGGUUCCGAUCGGGAAAGACAGGGCCAUAUGCAGUCGCCAGCGUGGCUGUGUUCCACAUCCUUUUCAGGCUGAGAAAAGCGUGGUUAGAGAGAGAGAUAUGAGAUGAUUUCCGGAGAAGGUGGGAGGUGGUUGCUGGUGCCAAACCCGAAGGAGGCUGCCGGGUUUGGGUUUUGAAGAAAACUAAAAGAAAAUAUUCAAGAGUUGAUAGUGACUCCAGGUUCUAAAGCGAAUACCAGUUAGAGUACAACAAAAGCUAGCAACUAUAGUACGCACGAAGCAAACCGCACGUAAGUCGACCACUGGUUACGCCGAGAACUGUUUGAGGGUGAAGGUAGUUAUAUAUGAAGGAAGAUUUGGCUGCAAGUUGGACAGGAACAGUUGUGCGUUCUCCAAGAGGGGUCAAGUCAUCCUCUGCAUUUGGUGAUCAGAAGUACAUUUGCUUCAGCAGAGUAUGCUUUCACCACUGGACAGCUCUUAUAGGAGAACUGGGAGUGCUAAUUCGAUGCCGAGAGUUUGGGGAAAAGAAGUAUAGGCUGAAAGAAAUUAUUGAUUCAAAGGUUAUUAAUUUCGUUGACCAUUGACACAUGCUUCUGCAAUUCGGCCGCCAGUGCAGUACUUCACUGAGAAACAAUUCUGAUGCCCUGAUCACCUUUUUAUCAUUAAUUCAGGUAAAUACUCUGGAUAGACUAACCCAUGAUCCUCACUUGCUUACAAAAUCAUAUAAUAAAUAUAUUACAAUAAACAAUAGGAAACAGAAGCUGAAUUAUUUGGCCACACAAAAACAGUCCUUCACAAAAAGAUAAAUGCAGUCUAUCUUUUUGUGGCAAUUUAAGUCUAGCACUCGCACUAACUUUAUGCAGCGUUGCCAAUAAAUCUCCACUGGAAGGGUGGACAUCUAGAGUGAAUUUUUGUGAUAAGCUUCACGUUCCAGUAUGUUCUAACGCUUGGCCUGUAUUUUGUUUUAAGUUUACUAUUUCCAAUCCCUUGCAGCUUCCCUUAAAGUGUUCUGUGAAUUAUUAACAGGUUAGAGUUGCUACAGUUGAAAAGUAGACAUGCCUUUUUGAUCCUUAUCUAUCUGUACUGAAGGUAUCAUUUGAACAUAGGGGAAGCUAUCACUCUGCAGACAAUGUGGAGUCUGGACAAUUCAGUUUUCAGGCAGUGGCAUCGGCUUGCUUGCUUUUUUGCUGUCGAACAUAAGCCUGCUACUGCAGACUGUUUAUUUUGAACGGAAGUCUGGUAUUGAUGCUAAAGAUUAGACUAAUGUUGAGAAAAAAGGCUCAGUCAAUGAUGAAGAUGAAGCUUGAAGAAUCGAGUGUUGUUGAAGGAAAGCUUGUUAUCUUGAAUAAAUUAUUAUAAAGAUAUGUGAGGUUACUAGUUAAUAUAGUUUGUUAUAUUUCAUCCGGUCUCUACGUUUCUCAUUGUUUGUUAAUUAGGAUAUCAUAGACUUAGUAUGCACAAGACACUAAUGUAUGGAUAUAUUUCUUUUGGAUGUUGUAUAACAACUUGUACAUAAUACAAUGUAUUGAUUAAUUCCCAUUUAA